AAAAGGUCCUUGAAGUUAUCAUACAAUAGAACCGUUGUCCUCAAACGAAUCAAACCACAACAACAGUCUAACUUUGAUAAAAAACAGAACUUUUCCACAAACCUUGCGGGAAUAUCACACAAUUUUAAAACUACUCAAACCGUUUCUUGAGUCGUCGCCAUCAAGGUCGUAAUUUACAUCUUCGAUUAACGAGCUUCGUGCACGCCUUUUUUCUCUCUGAUGUAUUUUUCCUUUUAAUUUUUAACAAGCACAGCGUGUGCCAACUUGAUGUGACAGCUUUGAAAGGAAACCAGAGGUCCGCCUACAGCCACAAUGGUACGCGUUAGACGAGAAUGGCAAUCGUUUUGGAAGUUGCUUAACGGGAAUGGAAUGGAAUACAUCGCGUAAACAAUCCAUGUCUGCGACACGAUGACACAUCUAUGCUUUUGAAAUUAUACCGGUUGCUACGUUGUGCACAAUGGAAGAGUCGAGAGCUAGAUGAUAGUCAAUUCAGCGAACUUUUUCGAUGCUUCCAAGAGGUGCUUGAGCAAAGAGAUGUCCAGCCCCUAUUUGUGAAUGUCAUCUUCGAGGAGAUGCCAUCAAGUGGCAAGAACCAAGAAAGUUUUGGGCUUGGCCCUAUUUUACACUGGGAACAAUGACGAACACAUGGCAAGGUUGUUAAAGUGCUUGGCACAAUUUAAGUCCAUCAUCUUGUGGAUUGACAAUGCUAAAAGCCAAACUGGAAGACA